rnacentral:rRNA from 1 species
AAGCGGAGGAAAAGAAACCAACAGGGAUUGCCUUAGUAACGGCGAGUGAAGCGGCAAAAGCUCAAAUUUGAAAUCUGGCACCUUCGGUGUCCGAGUUGUAAUUUGAAGAAGGUAACUUUGGGAUUGGCUCUUGUCUAAGUUCCUUGGAACAGGACGUCACAGAGGGUGAGAAUCCCGUGCGAUGAGAUGACCAAUCCUAUGUAAAGUGCUUUCGAAGAGUCGAGUUGUUUGGGAAUGCAGCUCUAAGUGGGUGGUAAAUUCCAUCUAAAGCUAAAUAUUGGCGAGAGACCGAUAGCGAACAAGUACAGUGAUGGAAAGAUGAAAAGAACUUUGAAAAGAGAGUGAAAAAGUACGUGAAAUUGUUGAAAGGGAAGGGCUUGAGAUCAGACUUGGUAUUUUGCAUUCCUUACCUUCGUGGUGGGGUUCCUUGCAGUUUACUGGGCCAGCAUCGGUUUGGAUGGUGGGAUAAUGACAUUGGAAUGUGGCUCUGCUUCGGUAGAGUGUUAUAGCCAGUGUUGAUACCGCCUGUCUAGACCGAGGACUGCGUCUUUGACUAGGAUGCUGGCAUAAUGAUCUUAAGUCGCCCGUCUUGA